rnacentral:misc_RNA from 1 species
AUAGUGUUCCAGGCACUGGGC